ACUGCAGGCUCUGAGCUGUCAGUGCUGAGCCUGAUGUGGGGCUGGAACUCACGAACCACUAGAUCGUGACCUGAGCUUAACUCAGGUGCUUAACCGACUGAGCCACCCAGGUGCCCCUUGAGUGUAUUUCAAGAAGAGGAUUGGCAGGAUGUGGAUCAGGCUGAAUUUGGUGUUGAGAGAGCAAGGAAGAGAAAGAUGUCAACACAAGAAAAAAAUUAUUUUUAAUGUUUAUAAUUUAUUUUUGAGAGAGAGAGAGAAAGGCAGAGAAUCCCAAGCAGGCCCUAGGCUGUCACCGCAGAACCUGAUGCAGGGCUCGAACCAAUGAACCGUGAGAUCAUGACCUGAGCCAAAAUAAAGAGUGGAGGCCUAACCGACUGAGCCACCUAGCCAUCCCAGGGCAAGUGUUUUCAAUGUUGAAGUGCUUGGGGGGUGUAGCUUUUGCAAGUAGUGGGGACAUCGGAAAGGAGAGUGAGUCCCUGAACAGGGAGAUGCUCUCCUUCCUUUUCAACAGGGUGAACUUCCUGUCAGCAGUAUAGCCAUGGAAGACAGAUGAAGCCACCAGCAAAGAACACUUCGAAGACUCGGGCCUGAGGUGGUAACGUGGAAGUCAUUCAGGGUGCUGGUGGCAAGAACUGGGCUUAAGGGGAACACACUCAGGCUGGGGGAGGCAAACGCAGGCCAGGUUGGUGGGGGCAGCCCGCAGGAAGUGGGCAUAGACCAGGCACCCUGGCCUCUAGCAAUUUUAACAUGGUCACAUCAACUCGCUUUCUUUACUGCUCUGGAAGGUAACCCAGAGCUUCAGGAUUCAAAAUCUUAUGCCACUGCUCAAAUAUAACAACAACAAAAAACAUUCUUUAGCACUUGGAACUUUCUAGUUGAUGGCUCUACCGAGAGCCCGGGCAGGAGUGGAGCUGGGACGUACAGGACCCUGCCAGAUAGGAGGGUGGGGUGGGUGGCUCCCCCAGCCUUCAGUUACCAGAAGAAUUCUGCCAAGAACUGAGGCUCCAGGCUACCGCCCUCCUCUGCCUUGGGCCGCAGUCCGCACACAGGCCCCCUGGACCGUCAUUAACCCUGGAGUCCUGGCCGCCUUGAGUGGGGGUUACAGGCCGCUCCUGAGCAGGGCAGAAGGUGGCAGAGGGAGUAAAAUGCCUCCUUCCAGGGGUAUAAAAGCAGGCGGGGGCUUCCCAUGACCGGGAGAGGAGGAGGGAGGCGGAGAGCCAGGAGGCCCUCUCCCCGCCCCCCCCCCCCCCCCCCCCACUCCGGGGAGCUCUACAGGGGAAAAGAGGGACCCGGGAGAGGGGAUGCUGGGCAAGGCCUCAAGUCGCUGCGGUGGGUGGCGUUGGGACGACAGACGCAGGCUGCCGCGGCCCCUCUCGCAGGUUUGGGGUCCGUCGGCCUCAGCCCCCCUUCGAGGUGGGGUAAGUGCUGCCCGGGCCCAGGCCGAGCAGGGCGGGUGCCCGCGGCCCAGGACGCGCGCCCAGGUCGCCUGCGGGUGAGGCGGAGGCAGAAGCAGGCUGCGAGCACACGGACUCGUCCCCUCGAGGGUGCCCUCCCUGGGGCCCACGCAGGACUCCGACCUCUGCCCGCGACAGCGUGGACGGGUUCGGCGGCCCUAAACCACCCAAACCUCCACCGGCCAGCGAAGCAUUUGAUGCUCCCUCAGGCGACAAAAGACCCCCCAGGCGCGCGGCUCCGGGUACAGCGCCCCCCAGAGCCAAGGCCCUGAGGCUGGCCGCGAGCGCCUCCGCACCAAGGUCAACGACGGCCCGGCUGUCUGGCGCCUCCCUUUCCUCCUCCCGAGCGCUCAGCUCCAUAGGGACUGGGCCGCAGGACCCACACCGUCUCCGAUCCGGGUUCCCCACGGCUCGGGGAGCCCAGGCACCACCCGGGUCAGGCCUUCAAGAAACUACUAGCAACCAGAGGCCCUAACCCAGGAGGGAAGGCAGUUUGGCAUAUGAAACGGAUGGCAAGACGGGGAUUACUGUGCCUAUAAAUCAGUGUUGUGUUCUGGAUAAUCUAAUACAUUUUUCAAGUGUUGUUCUCGCCGUUUGGCAUGCACGGAACUGCUCGGUUGGCACAAAGUUUGCAAUCAAUCUCUCCUGCCUGCUCCCCACGCGGCCUCGCCACCUCCUCGAACCUUCCUAAUAUUUUAUACAUAAACCGGUUUGGAUUCACGGGGCAUUCCAGCUAGUAAAUGCUCUGAAGAUUCAUCUUUAUGGACUAGCAGCCCAGCCUUGUAGCGUCUCAGCUUCUCAAGAUGAAAAGGAAUUUUAUUUGGUGUGUUAUGCCACGCGGGGAAUGGCUGCUGGCGGGUUGCUAGGUUCUAUUAUUAUCGUGUGUGUUCUUCUCCCGGGAGGAUGAGGCAAGGCCUCACGGGUGGGGCCCUCAGAAAACUGACAAUCCUUAUUUCCCCUCUUCUUCCCAGACCCUCCCGACAGUGUGUCAGGGCCCCGAGAGGCUCCCCAGGACCCCAGGGAACGGGGGUGGCGAGUUUUGAGCGAUCCAAGUGCAUGUCUCCGCUAGCCUGCAUCCCUGCACUGGGGGAAGAGGGACGGGGGAUCCACUAGAUUAAGACAACUGUUGGGGGGAGGGGAACAGCCCCACCAAAGGGAAAGAAGAUAGUGCAGUUUCAUUUGCUUUAAAGCACAGCCUCGUAAUAAAUGUGCACAGCAAAUGUGCUGAGCAAACACCUCGGCGUUCAUCAAUAUGCGGGGCCUGUUUAUUGCCUCAUAAACUUGGAAGCAAGUGAUAUUGUCUCUUAAAUCAAUGGCUGUGUGGACAGCCUUGGCGCUCCAGGAGAACAGGACAUCCAGGCCACGCGGCGCUUAAAUUAAUGGCUAGAGCAGUGACUGAAAGGUGCUUAGUCACUGCUGGGGGAUUAGGAGCCAUUUCCAAGGAGGCAGAGCAUCCUUAGUACGUAUCUAUGCCAGGAUGACAGGCCAGGGCACCUGGCAUGCUGUGGGGGUCUCCUCACCCGUGAGCUGUGCUACAGAAGGCACAGAAGGGGGGCCAAUGCCCCAACCCUGGGGGAGGGGAGAGGGUCUGUUUGUCUGCCUCUCUAGGCUGUGGGUCCUCGAGAGCUGGUCUGGGUCCCUCCAUUCUGGACCCCCAGCACCUGCAUCAGGCCCCAGCUGGAGUAAAUACUGGAAGAGGGUGGGAGGGGAGGAAGGCAGGCAGCCAAGUUAAGAAAGGAGACCAUGGGAAGCCUGCAAUGAGGCUAAGUAGAGAUGAUGAGUGGCCUUGCCACGCUGGGAGGCACCGCUUCCGAGGCAGGAUGGGGACCAAGACACCUGCCACCGAAGGGGGCUUUCGUGUCUAUGAAGCACUGGCCCAGUUGAGAGAUGUUCAUCGGGCCCUGAUGAAGGGCCAGUGCAGGGGGCAUCUUCAAGCAGAGCCAGACUCCCUGUGGUGCCCUGAAUGGUGAUACCCCAAAAGAUAGAUGUCCACGUCCUAAUCUCUGGCCCCUGUGAAUGUGAUCUUAUUUGGGGAAAAAAGGGUCUUUGCAUAUAUAAUUAAGGAUCUUGAGAAGAUUCUCCUGAAUUAUCUGGGUGGGCCCUAAACCCAAAGACAGGUGUCCCUAUGGGAGAGAGGCCGAGGUAGGUCUGAGACAAGACGGGAGAUGGAGAACAGAGGAGACAGAGGCGGAGUGAUGUGGGGACAAGCCACGGAACACCAGGGAUUGUCAGCAGACACCAUAAAUUAGGAGAGGGACGAACAGAUUCCUGCCCCCAGUCCCGAACCUUGAUUUCAGACUUCUGGCCUCCAAACCAUGAGAGAAUACAUUUCUGUUAUUUUAAGCCACCAUGGAUAUGGUAAUUAGGGAUAGCAGCCACAGAGGCGAAAGUGUGCCUCCUCCCCAAACUUGGGCUCAGAAAGGCACGUUGUCUUCUGGGCAGGUGCUCCUGCAUUCUUGGGGACAACAGGUUCUGGCCAGGAGUGCUUGAACCCACGGGGACGGCCCGGCCUAGCAGAGUGCUGGAAAAACUCAGCGACCCUGCUUUCCUUCCUUGGUCUCAGCAAGUGCUCUUAUAGCACCAUCCAAAGCACAGGAGGCCUUUUAUGCCUGCAUUUGUUAACCCAUUCAGGUGCUCCAAGACUCCUGCCAGGUAAAAGUCUCAAAGCAGCAACCACCCCUGGAAUUUUACUGAGGUCACAAUGAGCCUUGGGGACAUGGAACAGGAGCCUGUGAUGCCAGGCAUGUGGCUUGUACCUGGGCCGUAUAUGUUGCCUCGGGUGGUUUCCUUGUCUAGACCCCAGUCACUUUCAAGUUCCAUGUUUAUUCUCACCGCCACCCGAGGUAGUUGCAUCUGGACUUUUCUCCUUGGUUUUCCCUUCAUAGCCCCCCACCACGGACCCAAUCCCUUUCACCUGGGAAGAGUGGGCAGCCUCUAAGCCCAAGAAAAGUCAUAAUUCAGUCAUUUUGCAAGUUGGUGAAUUGAUUGACCAAUUCAAUCAAUGGUGGAAGUUUAUAGGGAGGAAGUUCCCUUGGAUAAAUUAAAGAAGGUGCCAUGGGCAAAAAUCUGGUCUUCUCUCAAGAGCCUCCUAUGACCUUGAUAAUUUUCAGUGUGGUUUAAACUGUCUACCUUAAAGGAUCAGAAGUCCCAAAGCAUUCACGCCCAAAGUCCUUCCUCUCACAAGGGGCUCACGGGAGACUGUUAUGGGCUCCAGAAUGACAAUUUAUUAAUCUACAGUGAGAAACAGGCUCAACUAUGUGACAUUGCCAAUAUUCAAAUGCUUUCGAACUACAGGAGUGGCAAUUUCAUAUGAUCCAACAUUAAUACCACCAUGGGGAUCUGAAAUACUCAGAUCUGUAUGCCCACAAUUGUCCCCUGCAGGCCCCCUAUGUGGGAAGCCCAAUUAUAAUCAAAGAGGUACUUGGUGAGCAAUGAACCGGAGCAAGGAUUCUGGGGCUCGAUGGUGAGAAACAAAAAAGCAGGCCCUGGCAGCUGUCAGCUGGGAGCCGGCCUGGUACUCACAGCUAGGCCAUGGUGUUCUUUUGUUGAACAAACACAAUUUCACUGAACACCAACAUCGAACAAGGUCACUCUGUGACCGGGAUGGGGAGAGACAAAAACAAGGCCACUCCUGUAAUCAUGUCUGAACACAGACAAAAAAACUCAAGCAUACUGUUUAAACCACAAAAUGACCGCCUGUGCCUCCUUCCCACCUGGUGUGAAUGACAGCCACUUUGCCAAUUACAGCCCCAGCCUCACUCAUUCAUCCACCUCCUAGAUAAAAUUAGUGAUGCCCAGUCCUACCCAAUUUCAACGUUCUGAUACCCCAUCCAAAGCGACAGCCUCCAACAUCACCUAGUGCGAGCUGAAAUCCUAUAAAAUGGUCCCUCCGCCACCUCCUUACCAAGAUACCCCAAGAUUCCCCGUAGUGUGCAGUCUCCCUGGAGGCAACAAGUACCAAGAAACCCAACUUUGUUCAACUACCUGUGUGUUCCU